GGAAAGGAAGCUUAAAACGAGAGUAGCCACAUAGCCUCUGUCUCAUUCUUCUUGCAGAUUCAGCAAACCUUUUAACAUCCUCAAGCAUAUUAUAAUCUGAUAAAAGGAUGUUAUCGUCGAAUUGAGAAAGAGGGAGAACUUCAGUGAGGGAUUUUUUGCCAUUGCAAGCAGUCCUUUGCUUGUGGGAAUUGACGCAAGGGAGACUACAAGUACGUAUAGAGCAACCUGGGCAUUUAUACUUCCAUGGAUUUAACUUGCACUCUUCACAUUCAACUGAUGAAAUUGGGUUAGGGUUUCCUUCUCGUUCCUUCU
rnacentral:misc_RNA from 1 species